rnacentral:lncRNA from 1 species
UAAGUAGUUGACAACUUCAUUCUUUCUUGAGUUAAUUUCACAAAACUGUAACUAUGUAUGCUUAACUGUCAAGGAACUGCAACUUCUUGGAUCAGUUUCAAGGAACUACAAACUACUCAAGGCCUCAAUUUCACAUUCCUACAAUAUAUGCAAGGGCUUUCCUUUCAAAAAAAAAAUAUAUGCAAGGGCUCACAUGUCAGCCACAUAAGUUAUGUGGGACAGGUGGGUCCACGCAGAAUGUUACAGCUUUGUGAAACUGAAGGCAGAAGCAGUUAUGUGAAACUGAAACUAGAAGCUAUAACUCCUGUUAGUCAAAUGCAAAUAUUUUCAGUUUUGUAAAAAAAUUAACUCUUUUAUUGUUUAAUUAC